ACGACGCUGGCGGUAUGCUUAACACAUGCAAGUCGAACGAGACGAGAUGGAAGGAUCCUUCGGGUGACGGAAAUCUUAGAAAGUGGCGAACGGGUGAGUAACGCGUGGGUAACCUGCCCUAUGGAAAGGAAUAGCCUCGGGAAACUGGGAGUAAUGCCUUAUAAUACAUUGAAGUCGCAUGGCUUUGAUGUUAAACGCUCCGGUGCCAUAGGAUGGACCCGCGUCCCAUUAGCUAGUUGGUGAGAUAACAGUCCACCAAGGCGAGGAUGGGUAACCGGUCUGAGAGGGCGAACGGUCACACUGGAACUGAGACACGGUCCAGACUCCUACGGGAGGCAGCAGUGGGGAAUAUUGCGCAAAUGGGGGAAACCCUGACGCAGCAAUACCGCGUGAGUGAAGAAGGUUUUCGGAUCGUAAAGCUCUGUUAUUGGGGAAGAAAAAAGACGGUACCCAAGAAGAAAGUCCCGGCUAACUACGUGCCAGCAGCCGC
rnacentral:rRNA from 1 species